rnacentral:rRNA from 1 species
UACGUAGGGUGCGAGCGUUGUCCGGAAUUAUUGGGCGUAAAGGGCUCGUAGGCGGUUUGUCGCGUCGGGAGUGAAAAUCCAGGGCUUAACUCUGGACUGGCUUUCGAUACGGGCAGACUAGAGGUAUGCAGGGGAGAACGGAAUUCCUGGUGUAGCGGUGAAAUGCGCAGAUAUCAGGAGGAACACCGGUGGCGAAGGCGGUUCGCUGGGCAUUACCUGACGCUGAGGAACGAAAGCGUGGGGAGCGAACAGG